UACGGAGGGUGCGAGCGUUGUCCGGAAUCACUGGGCGUAAAGGGCGCGUAGGCGGCCUGAUAAGUAGGGGGUGAAAUCCUGCGGCUUAACCGCAGGGCUGCCUUCUAAACUGUCAGGCUAGAGCACAGUAGAGGCAGGUGGAAUUCCCGGUGUAGCGGUGGAAUGCGUAGAGAUCGGGAAGAACAUCAGUGGCGAAGGCGGCCUGCUGGGCUGACACUGACGCUGAACUGCGAAAGCUAGGGGAGCGAACGGG
rnacentral:rRNA from 1 species